UACAGAGGUGGCGAGCGUUGUUCGGAUUUACUGGGCGUAAAGGGUGCGUAGGUGGCUUUGUGUGUCGGGCGUGAAAUCCCACCGCUCAACGGUGGAACGCCGCCCGAAACUGCAGGGCUGGAGUGCAGGAGAGGAGAGCGGAAUUCUUGGUGUAGCGGUGGAAUGCGUUGAUAUCAAGAAGAACACCAGUGGCGUAGGCGGCUCUCUGGAAUGCAACUGACACUGAGGCACGAAAGCGUGGGGAGCAAACAGG
rnacentral:rRNA from 1 species